AGUGAACGCUGGCGGUAGGCCUAACACAUGCAAGUCGAACGGCAGCACAGUAAGAGCUUGCUCUUACGGGUGGCGAGUGGCGGACGGGUGAGGAAUACAUCGGAAUCUACUUUUUCGUGGGGGAUAACGUAGGGAAACUUACGCUAAUACCGCAUACGACCUACGGGUGAAAGUAGGGGAUCUUCGGACCUUGCGCGGUUGAAUGAGCCGAUGUCGGAUUAGCUAGUUGGCGGGGUAAAGGCCCACCAAGGCGACGAUCCGUAGCUGGUCUGAGAGGAUGAUCAGCCACACUGGAACUGAGACACGGUCCAGACUCCUACGGGAGGCAGCAGUGGGGAAUAUUGGACAAUGGGCGCAAGCCUGAUCCAGCCAUACCGCGUGGGUGAAGAAGGCCUUCGGGUUGUAAAGCCCUUUUGUUGGGAAAGAAAAGCAGCAGGUUAAUACCCCGCUGUUCUGACGGUACCCAAAGAAUAAGCACCGGCUAACUUCGUG
rnacentral:rRNA from 1 species